GACGAACGCUGGCGGCGUGCUUAACACAUGCCAGUCGAACGGAAAGGCCCUGCUUGCAGGGUACUCGAGUGGCGAACGGGUGAGUAACACGUGGGUGAUCUGCCCUGCACUUCGGGAUAAGCCUGGGAAACUGGGUCUAAUACCGGAUAUGACCUUCCAUGUAGUGUGGGGGGUGGAAAGAUUUAUCGGUGUGGGAUGAGCCCGCGGCCUAUCAGCUUGUUGGUGGGGUAAUGGCCUACCAAGGCGUCGACGGGUAGCCGGCCUGAGAGGGUGGACGGCCACAUUGGGACUGAGAUACGGCCCAGACUCCUACGGGAGGCAGCAGUGGGUAAUAUUGCACAAUGGGCGGAAGCCUUAUGCAGCGACGCCGCGUGGGGGAUGACGGCCUUCGGGUUGUAAACCUCUUUCGACAGGGACGAAGCUUCGGUGACGGUACCUGUAUAAGAAGCACCGGCUAACUACGUG
rnacentral:rRNA from 1 species